rnacentral:sRNA from 1 species
AAAUUUAAAUAUAAACAGACUAAAUUUUUUAAUAAAUUUUAAAUAAGAAGGUUACCAUGAGCAAUUCUAGAAUUAACCGACUUGUUUUCGAUCUUGAAGAAGGAGGCUAAUCGAAAGAAGUUAUUUGAACCAAUCUACCCACAAGUGACAUUUUGGUGUUCGGAAGAAACUUGAUUUUGAACUUAAAGUCGGUAAAAGGAGGAGAUCCGACGGAUACUUUGAUGACAUGAAUGUUUUCCAUGAAGUACCAACUUCCUUCUUCGAGAACUCUAGGGAUAUUAUGUUCAUAGAUGUAAGGAGGAGCUAUGGCAUCAAUAAUUGUCCCCUUAAUAAAACAUAAAAGGUUUAACUCAUGCAAUAUUAAUAGAUCAGAUUCAAUGAAUAUUCCAAGUUAAUACUUACAAUUUCGUCGCACAUUAUCAUGUGGUGUCUCUUCUAUCCAUCAUGUGGUAGUGAAGGCCAAAAACUUAGUAUCUUAACAAACACAUUCCACUCCUUUUUCGCGAAAUUUAUGUAUGAGACUCCUUUGUAGUAACCACCUCUAUCAUCUCUCUCGACAUGGUUAAUGGUUCGAAGAAAAAUGAAGAAGGUAAGUAUAAUGGAUAUAAAGAAGAGGAGGUUACAUUUUCUCGGUUAAUGGGUUAGGAUAUGUGUACGUAUAUAAUUUUGAAUAUUUAG